rnacentral:tRNA from 1 species
GCGGGUAUAGCUCAGGGGUUAGAGCGCCUCUCUGUGGAAGAGGAGGCCGCGGGUUCGAGACCCGCUAUCCGCCCCA